CGGACGGGUGAGUAACGCGUGGGUAACCUGCCUCAUACAGGGGGAUAACAGUUAGAAAUGACUGCUAAUACCGCAUAAGACCACAGCACCGCAUGGUGCAGGGGUAAAAACUCCAGUGGUAUGAGAUGGACCCGCGUCUGAUUAGGUAGUUGGUGGGGUAACGGCCUACCAAGCCGACGAUCAGUAGCCGACCUGAGAGGGUGACCGGCCACAUUGGGACUGAGACACGGCCCAA
rnacentral:rRNA from 1 species